rnacentral:rRNA from 1 species
GAUGAACGCUGGCGGCGUGCCUAACACAUGCAAGUCGAGCGAUUCUCUCCGGAGAAGAGCGGCGGACGGGUGAGUAACGCGUGGGUAACCUGCCCCGUACACACGGAUAACAUACCGAAAGGUAUGCUAAUACGAGAUAAUAUGCUUUUAUCGCAUGGCAGAAGUAUCAAAGCUUUUGCGGUACAGGAUGGACCCGCGUCUGAUUAGCUAGUUGGUAAGGUAACGGCUUACCAAGGCGACGAUCAGUAGCCGACCUGAGAGGGUGAUCGGCCACAUUGGAACUGAGACACGGUCCAAACUCCUACGGGAGGCAGCAGUGGGGAAUAUUGCACAAUGGGCGAAAGCCUGAUGCAGCAACGCCGCGUGAGCGAUGAAGGCCUUCGGGUCGUAGAGCUCUGUCCUCAAGGAAGAUAAUGACGGUACUUGAGGAGGAAGCCCCGGCUAACUACGUGCCAGCCGCCGCGGUAA